rnacentral:rRNA from 1 species
CAAACUCUAACGGGAGGCAGCAGUAAGGAAUAUUGGUCAAUGGAGGGAACUCUGAACCAGCCAUGCCGCGUGCAGGAAGACAGCCCUCUGGGUCGUAAACUGCUUUUAUUCGGGAAUAAACCUACUUACGUGUAAGUAGCUGAAUGUACCGAAGGAAUAAGGAUCGGCUAACUCCGUGCCAGCAGCCGCGGUAAUACGGAGGAUCCAAGCGUUAUCCGGAUUUAUUGGGUUUAAAGGGUGCGUAGGCGGCUUAUUAAGUCAGGGGUGAAAGACGGUGGCUCAACCAUCGCAGUGCCCUUGAUACUGAUGAGCUUGAAUACACUAGAGGUAGGCGGAAUGUGACAAGUAGCGGUGAAAUGCAUAGAUAUGUCACAGAACACCGAUUGCGAAGGCAGCUUACUAUGGUGUGAUUGACGCUGAGGCACGAAAGCGUGGGGAUCAAACAGGAUUAGAUACCCUGGUAGUCCACGCCCUAAACGAUGAAUACUCGCUGUUAGCGAUAUACAGUUAGCGGCUAAGCGAAAGCGUUAAGUAUUCCACCUGGGGAGUACGCCCGCAAGGGUGAAACUCAAAGGAAUUGACGGGGGCCCGCACAAGCGGAGGAGCAUGUGGUUUAAUUCGAUGAUACGCGAGGAACCUUACCCGGGCUUGAAAGUUAGUGAAUAAUCAAGAGAUUGAUUAGUGAGCAAUCACACGAAACUAGGUGCUGCAUGGCUGUCGUCAGCUCGUGCCGUGAGGUGUUGGGUUAAGUCCCGCAACGAGCGCAACCCCUAUGUUUAGUUGCCAGCACGUUAAGGUGGGGACUCUAAACAGACUGCCUGUGCAAACAGAGAGGAAGGAGGGGACGACGUCAAGUCAUCAUGGCCCUUACGUCCGGGGCUACACACGUGCUACAAUGGAUGGUACAGAGGGCAGCAAGCUGGCAACAGCAAGCGAAUCUCAAAAAGCCAUUCACAGUUCGGAUAGAGGUCUGCAACUCGACCUCUUGAAGUUGGAUUCGCUAGUAAUCGCGUAUCAGCAAUGACGCGGUGAAUACGUUCCCGGGCCUUGUACACACCGCCCGGUCAAGCCAUGGAAGUUGGGGGUACCUAAAGUAUGUAACCGCAAGGAGC